UAGCAAAGAAGGAUUUUCCUAGUCUUCCUGAGAGAAAAUGCCAUGAUAACUUUGUUCAGCUUGCGUUGGUCCAAAUUCGGCAUCAUCGUUCACAUCAUUAUUAAAAGCAGCAAGCUCGGAUUCAUUAGGAAUACCAUCUAAGAACAAUGAUUGACCAGCAUCGUUUGUGGUUGAUGGCUCCUUAAUGCCAUUAGUUUCGUCGCUUCGGUCAAGCGCAGAAUUAAACAUUCUGGAUGAGUCACUUUGCUAUAAAGUUAAUGUUAAUAAAUUAUUGUACUUAGUACUAAAGCCGAAUUACAUACAUCAGUUUGCCAUCCAAUAGAUCCAGGGGGAUUAUGUGCUACAGCAGUCAAUGAGUUGUUGCGCUCUACUGAAUUGAACAGAGAAGCUGGUGUUGAACUGUGCUGCCAUCUAUUUCCCAUCAUAGAUGACACCUCUUGUUCAUCUGAUCCAACUACAGUUGCAAGAAUGAACUGCGCUUCAAUUUCGGAAUUUUUCCCUUUUGCAAAAGUUAAAAGUAUCGGUUUUCCUGGGACACCGUAAUAUGCACAAAUCGAGCUUCCCAAUGCCUCUGCUAAAAUGACGGCAGCACGAAAUUCACGUAGAGAAAGGGUAACAGAGACUCCCUCAUUAAGUGCGACGCGUUCAAAUUCUUUACCAUCAAUGGAAACAGUUGUUUGGGUAGGUUGCUUCAAAAUAUCUCUAUUAUGUACGACCUCUUCUGUGAAACUUGUAAGUAAAACACGUUCUUGAAGUGGUUGAAUUGUAAGCUCUUCCGUUCUCUGACCAAAAUGUUCAGUCAAAUCUUUUAGAAUUUUUGAGUUUAUUUGAAAAUUAUUGUGACUAAGAGAUUUAUCAAAAACAGCGUGUAAAGUUUGGGUUUGUUCAUAUGAUAUUUUAUAUGUUUUAAUCACUCCUUGAUGAAUAAACGUUAGUAGAGCAAAUAAAAUAAUAAGACGGACAAACUACGUACCGUGCUUGCAUAAGAAUUUAAAUAUAAUCCUACACUCGCUACCAGUAGAGAUUGAGAUUUGAACAUUCUCGACAAUCACAUCUUUUCUGCUUGCAGAUUCACUGCCAUAACCGUUCUUGCUAUUGGUAGUGACGACAGUCGGGAUGAAAUCAAAGAUUUUGUUUCUAAACACAGAUAGUAUGGGCUUGACUUGCGUACGAAUACGUAUUGUAGGAGUCAUCAAUCCCGUCAACAGGACGGAAUCCGGCUGAAAAAUGUACUUGUCAAAAAAUGCCUUUUUUAAAGUCACCAUGCUAAAUCCUGACCUAGAAGAAUUUAAACAUGUAAUCUCUAUCUUUACCAAUUAGUUUCAAUGUUUAGUAAGGUUUGAAAAAAGUUCCAACACACCUGAUUUUUGUUAAUUUCCCAGUUGACAGCAUCAUCGAUUCUAGAAAGAUUUGUAAAGAUCCUUGCGAGGUCCCGAAGAUUAACAUUUGAAACAGUGAAUUCCAUUUUAUAUACCAGUACGUGAAUUGAUGUAGACGAAUGCUGAACGAAUAACGAUAGUUUCUA